UUGAGUGUGACAGUUGGUAGAUGAUGUCACCAUCCCAUUACCAGACUAAGGUAGAUUCUUAUAUUAUGAAAAGAAAUCCCUUCACCUUCUGCACUCAGGAUCAGCUACACAUCCCUCUGCAUUUGUGCCUGUUUGCUACAUAUCAUCACAUAUGGCCUCAAUCUGCUACCCACAGUCACUGGAUAGCCUCAUUUCAGUGACUUUCAGGUAGUACAGUGAGUAGUAUUCACUAAAAGGUGCCACGUUGGCAGUCCUGAAAAAUGAAGUUCUGCAUGUAUUCACAGAACAGGAAAAUGUUGUCUUCCAGAAGCGCGUAAAAGACAGAGAAAACCAUAUGUACUACUGCUAUCAACAUUGCUUAAGCUGAUGUAGCUGAACCAGUGAAGGAAGAACUUCUACUUUUACAAGGAGGUCACAUUACUAAGACACGCUGUUAACUUAAAGAAGAUGCUUUCAAUGUGGAAAAAGAGGUCCAAAUGCAAUGGAAAUGAACCAAACCUGAUGGCCUUCUAUAGAGGACACUGCAUCCAUAUUUUUCACAUAAUGUAGUUAAGAUAUUACAGAUCUGAGUAUUUAUCAACAUUACUGCAGUGUCUCAGAGGGGUAGCCGUGUUAGUCUGUAGCUG